GAUGAUGACUGAUGUCCAGCUUGCUAGCUAAGAUUUUGAAAGUAUGAUGUUGACAUGAUCAGUCCAAUCAAAGCUACGGUAGAUAUAAUGUGAUUUGACAUAAUUUUAUCUCUGGCCAAUGACCUUGAGCCUUCUUGGAUGGGCAUUUCUAAUGUAACUCUAUGGCAGCAUCCAAGGCGCUUGAAUUUUCCAGCUCUCCCCAUAGCUUUUUGCCGUGACGUACAGUAGUGUCCCCAUGAGUGACAGAACACUGAGCCAAUCACGUUGCAACUAGAGAACAUUACCAACCUGGCUUCCCCACCACCACAGAAAGCACUGAGCUAAGCUGAGAUCCCUUACUCAAGAAAGCAAAAAAGAGACCAUGCAGCUUUAUUAACGGAAUAAUUAAAAAAAUAUAUAUAUAUAUUUAUAUGUGACAGGCAAUGCCACUGCUGAAUACAACUGCAACUUUAAAUCAAUAUAGUGUUUGUGUUUGAAUUAAGAUGCAGGAUUAAGAUGUCAAAUCUGCUGCCACCCACAAGAUGCAGUAGUGAUAAAGUCCGGAGAAUGUGGAGUUUCUUAUCAUUCAUUCAACUGAAAGUACUACCUUUAGAUUCAUACUGUUAGUAAGGUCACCGUAGUUCCAUUUUUAGCGACGUUCCAAUUCCCUUUUCACUUCUGCAUUCAUAGUUGAUUUGGUGUUCAGCAGCGUAAGUGUCUGACCACUUAAGAGAACGCAAGUUCUACAGCUACAACAGGUAGGAAAUGUAUUAACUCACAGGAUUUCUGCACUUCUAUUCUCUCUCUCCUAGACGAGGAUAACUCUGAUCUAUAUGCGUUAGCCAACCAGCAGUGAACAGUUAAGUAAUGAUGGUUCAAUUGUAGCAUUGUGUCAACAAUAGAUAUAUUUAGUUAGCCUAUGUGACUGUGGGGAGUGUGACGGUGGGGAGCCUAGAAACUGACUGAAGUGGGAGUAAAGAUAAGAUACUGCCAAAGUGCAGAAGGGACACAUAACGACUACAGUGUUAUCACUUCUUGUCUUCAUGAAAAAGUACAUUUUACAUUUUGUCUCAUCCGCCAUUCAGGUCAAUCCCACCAAUCUGUGUCACGCACCAUGGGCAGAUGUAUCCAAGUUUGCAAGCUGGUCUUAUGGGUUGCAGUUUGUGUGACCUUCAUUGUCUUGGGUGCUGUGUACACUGAUGACUGCCCAGUGAAACGUGUCAUCCCUAUCCACAUGAUCAUUUCUGGAUCUUUCGGUCUCCUCUCUGUAUUCUUCUCCUGCUGCAAGGACCGUGUUGUGUGCCAAUAUUUGUCGAAACUAUUUUCGUUCAUGAUCAUCAUCUGGCUCAUUAUUGGUACGAGACAUCAAAUUACGAUACAUGUUGCCUGGUUUGAAUAUUUUUUAAAUGCUUCCUUUCCUCCCUCCUUUCCUCCCUCCUUUCCUCCCUCCUUUCUUUGAGGUAAUCACUGAUCUGUUUCUGUAUUGCUUCCAACAAUCCAACAUUAUCAGCUCAGUGAUUACUUCACGGAAGGAAGGAAGGAAGGAAGGAAGGAAGGAAGGAAGGAAGGAAGGAAGGAAGGAAGGAAGGAAGGAAGGAAUGUACUGAAACUGUAAUUUCAGCAAGCACCAUCUCAGAUUGUUCUGAAAUCAUUUCUGUAGUUAGAAACAGAUAAGAUUAGGAUUUCUGCAACAUUAUUUUGUUGAAAAAUAAUUUGAUCUCUGAGAAGCUAAUUGAUUGCCAAAUUGCCCAUUUUAAUUUAUAGUAUUCAUAUAAUAUUCUAUAAAUGUAGUCUGAUUUGGACCAAACUUUUAGCUAACUUAGCCUUAACUCGACACUGCACAAAACUACACAAGAUCUCUCAAACUGUGUACAUUGAUUACAUUUCAUGAAGAUGACUGAUGACAGAAAUCCUCUAUACCUCUUUGUGGCCUCUACCACCAUCAUAUUGGACAUUAUUAUAGGUACAGUGCCUUGCGAAAGUAUUCGGCCCCCUUGAACUUUGCGACCUUUUGCCACAUUUCAGGCUUCAAACAUAAAUAUAUAAAACUGUAUUUUUUUUGUGAAGAAUCAACAACAAGUGGGACACAAUCAUGAAGUGGAACGACAUUUAUUGGAUAUUUCAAAUUUUUCAACAAAUCAAAAACUGAAAAAUUGGCCGUGCAAAAUUAUUCAGCCCCUUAAGUUAAUACUUUGUAGCGCCACCUUUUGCUGCGAUUACAGCUGUAAGUCGCUUGGGGUAUGUCUCUAUCAGUU